rnacentral:rRNA from 1 species
UAGGUCCCAAGGGUUGGGCUGUUCGCCCAUUAAAGCGGCACGCGAGCUGGGUUUAGAACGUCGUGAGACAGUUCGGUCUCUAUCCGCCGCGCGCGUAAGAAACUUGAGGAAACCUGUCCCUAGUACGAGAGGACCGGGACGGACGAACCUCUGGUGUGCCAGUUGUCCUACCAAGGGCACCGCUGGUUAGCUACGUUCGGAAGGGAUAACCGCUGAAAGCAUCUAAGCGGGAAGCCUGUUCCAAGAUGAGGUUUCUCACCCUCUUAGCAGGGGUAAGGCCCCCCACAGACCAUGGGGUAGAUAGGCCAGAACUGGAAGCCCGGUAACGGGUGCAGGUGACUGGUACUAAUCGGCCGAGGACUUACAACCAAAACA